rnacentral:sRNA from 1 species
AAAGCCAAAAGAAGAAUGCCACAACUCCCUUGAAACAGUGGAAAGUUGGUGACAAGUGUUCUGCUGUUUGGUCAGAAGACGGCUGCAUUUACCCAGCUACUAUUACGUCCAUUGACUUUAAGAGAGAAACCUGUGUCGUGGUUUAUACUGGAUAUGGAAACAGAGAGGAGCAAAACUUAUCUGACCUACUUUCCCCGACCUGUGAAGUAGCUAAUAGUACAGAACAGAACACUCAGGAGAAUGAAAGUCAAGUUUCCACAGACGACAGUGAACACUCCUCCAGAUCGCUCAGAAGUAAAGCACACAGCAAGUCCAAAGCUGCUCCGUGGACCUCAUUUCUUCCUCCACCACCCCCAAUGCCAGGGUCAGGAUUAGGACCAGGAAAGCCAGGUCUAAAAUUCAACGGCCCGCCGCCGCCGCCUCCACUACCCCCUCCCCCCUUCCUGCCGUGCUGGAUGCCCCCGUUCCCUUCAGGACCACCAAGUGAUGAUUCUGACAUUUGGGAUGAUACAGCAUUGAUAAAAGCUUAUGAUAAAGCUGUGGCUUCCUUUAAGCAUGCUCUAAAGAACGGUGACAUUUGUGAAACUCCAG